GUCUACGGCCAUACCACCCUGAACGCGCCCGAUCUCAUCUGAUCUCGGAAGCUAAGCAGGGUCGGGCCUGGUUAGUACUUGGAUGGGAGAACCCAAUGUGAGACUCGAACUAAAGAUC
rnacentral:rRNA from 1 species